rnacentral:rRNA from 1 species
UACUUGGUGUUACUGCGAAGGGGGGACGGAGAAGGCUAUGUUGGCCGGGCGACGGUUGUCCCGGUUUAAGCGUGUAGGCUGGUUUUCCAGGCAAAUCCGGAAAACCAAGGCUGAGGCGUGAUGACGAGGCACUACGGUGCUGAAGCAACAAAUGCCCUGCUUCCAGGAAAAGCCUCUAAGCAUCAGGUAACAUCAAAUCGUACCCCAAACCGACACAGGUGGUCAGGUAGAGAAUACCAAGGCGCUUGAGAGAACUCGGGUGAAGGAACUAGGCAAAAUGGUGCCGUAACUUC